rnacentral:rRNA from 1 species
UACGUAGGGUGCGAGCGUUGUCCGGAAUUAUUGGGCGUAAAGGGCUCGUAGGCGGUUUGUCGCGUCGGGAGUGAAAACCCAGGGCUUAACUCUGGGCUUGCUUUCGAUACGGGCAGACUAGAGGUAUGCAGGGGAGAACGGAAUUCCUGGUGUAGCGGUGAAAUGCGUAGAUAUCUGGAGGAACACCGGUGGCGAAGGCGGCAUCCUGGACCAACACUGACACUGAGGAGCGAAAGCCAGGGGAGCAAACGGG